rnacentral:misc_RNA from 1 species
UUAAAAGCCGAAAUUUGCAUCAGUCUUUACUACACUGGACACGAUGUACCGUUCCCUAGUCCUGCUCUUGGCUGUGGCCGCUUCCGCUUACGGCGGUAGUGUUGGCGAGCGUAUCGUCGGCGGAACAGACGCCCCCGACGGAGCUUAUCCUUACCAAGUCUCUCUGCAGACUCUCCUCAGUGGACACUUCUGCGGAGGUUCAAUAAUCAACGCACGAUGGAUCCUCACCGCCGCCCACUGCGUUAUGAGUUACCAGCUAUGGCCAGGCAUGGUUCGAGUCCGCGUUGGCACCAACGACCGCCGCUCUGGUGGUUCCAUCUACAUCGCAAGAAGAGUUCUGAUCAACCCUGACUAUUCCGCAUCAGAUUUCCGCAGCGACGUUGCCUUGAUCCGACUCACCAGUAGCAUCACUUUUACCGAAAAAGUCCAGCCAAUCGCUUUGCCCACAGAAGAUUUCACCAAGGUCAACUAUCCCGCAGUGCUGACCGGUUGGGGAAGCAUCGCCUUUCCAAGCGGCAGCAGUCCCAGACGCCUCCAGCACAUCACCCUGAACAUAAUCGACCAGGAAGCGUGUUUGGCCAGAGACUGGAGAACCUCGGAAAGCAACAUCUGCACGCUUACGGUAGCCGGAGAGGGCGCCUGUCACGGGGAUUCGGGCGGUCCGCUAGUCGCCGACGGAGUCCAGGUUGGAAUCGUUUCAUGGGGAACACCAUGCGCGGUUGGUGAACCGGACGUAUUUGCCCGCGUCUGGAGCUUCAUCGACUGGAUAAACGAAAACGUGAACUGACGCGGUGCCGACCCAGAAAAAGUGACGGUGUUCGCUUGGAGUUACACCAAAGUGCAAUUUUCUGAUUCGAAUAGUCGCUGCCUGGGUUUAAGCAGCGAAUUGCUCAAAAGAACAGCUCGAGUUUAUCGCAACAGCAAUUACGGAACUGUGACAACGUUUUAUGGUGGUGCACAUGAACUUGGAAAUCGAAUAUUGGUAGAAUGUGGGAAAGAGUCCAGCACGGAUUUGCAAGGAAGUUAUUUACCACCAUCUUGUCUUUCGUUCGUUAGAACUUUUUUAAUCGAUCACCAAUGCAGAGAAAGGGACUUAAUUCCGAACUAAAUCACUUUUUCCCCCAAUCACUCGAGCGAUCAAAAAUAUACUAUAUCAAAUAAGCGAUAGAAAGAGAAAAUCGAAAGGAAACCUGUCGGUUUCAUAAAUUAUACCUCUCUUAAGAUAAGAGAAAAAAAAAAACCGGACAAGUUUUCGCA